rnacentral:rRNA from 1 species
UAUUAUUUAAAAUGUAAAGAUAAAUGCUUAGGUAGUAUUAGUUAUGUUCUUGAAACUUAAAAAAUUUGGCGGUAUUUUAUUCUAUUCAGAGGAACCUGUCCUGUAAUUGAUAAUCCACGAUGUACCUCACUUAAAUUUGUGUUUCAGUUUAUAUACCGUCGUUAUCAGAAUAUUUUAUUAGAAUAAUAAUUUUCAAUAAUUUAAAUAAAAAUUUAUAUCAGAUCAAGGUGUAGCUUAUAUUUAAGAAGAGAUGGGUUACAAUAAAUUUAUUUAAAUGGAUUUAAUUUUUAAAUAUUUUAAUGAAGGUGGAUUUGAUAGUAAAAAUUAAAAGAUUAUAGUUUUGAUAUUAGUUUUAAAAUAUGCACACAUCGCCCGUCACUCUUAUUAUAAAGGUAAG